rnacentral:rRNA from 1 species
AUGGAAGAGCUUGGGUUGAACGAAGGGAAUAUUCAAGAUGUGAUCGUUGAGGAUGACGAUCUGCUGGAAGAAUUUGUCAGAUGGAUGGCGAUUGCUAGGGUACACACGGAUAAAACUUACAGUCAGUACUGGUUCUACCGCAAUAUGAGGGCAGCGUGGGAUCUUGCUCGAGAAGUUCAGAUCCGUCCGCUGGAAGAUAAUCUGUAUACUAUGCAGUUCAUGUGCCUCGGCGACUGGGAGAGAGUAAUGGAGGAGGGACCCUGGCAAUACAAAGGAAAAGCAGUGGUGAUUGAGCCCUAUGAUGGAUUCACUAGGCCAUCGGCGGUCGCGUUGGACAAGAUGGAAAUCUGGGCCCAAAUCCAUGAUUUCCCUGAUGGCUACUUCCCCUUGAUCAAAUCACUAGCAGCCACAAUUGGUGAAUACAUCUACCAUGAACCGAGGUCUCAAGACUUCUAG